CUCUCUCCUGUGCCUUGUGAAGAAAGUGCCUGCUUCGCCUUCACCUUCGGCCAUGAUUGUAAGUUUCCUGAGGCCUUCUCCGCCUGCAGAGCUAAAUAGUUGCUCCAUAGAAAAUCCUCCACAGUACUGAAAUGAGGCUGCCUCACCAUUGGGGAUAGUGAAAAGGACAAUUUCCUUUGAACACACUCAUUUUCUGAUUGAAGAGAAUACAGAGAAUGUGGAUUUUCCUGGUGCCAAGUUGUUCUUCCAUUCCUCGGCCAAGUUUCCAUUCUGAUUAACUCAAGAUUCACUUGGAACCCUUUCCUUGCUAUGGCCAUUAAUCCUAAACUGCUUUAUCAGGAACUUGGCCCAAUCUGAGUUAGUUUCCUUCCUUGGAUACCUGCCUUAAACCAGAUCCUCAAACCUCAUAAAUAUCCCUCCUAGAAAAUAAGACUCUGUCAAGGGAGUAUUCUUUCUUAUUUCAGUAGGCAAUGAACUUGAUGCUGUUUUAUCAACAAGUUGAUUAAGUGAUGAUUAGGGUAUCAGUAAUCAACAUUGAUUUGAACCCUGGCUAGCUACAACACUUCCUAGCUGUGUGAUCUUGGGAAACAUUUCUGAGAUGGUUAAUACUGAGUGUCAACUUGAUUGGACUGAAGGAUGUAAAGUAUUGUUCCUGGGUGUGUCUGUAAGGGUGUUGCCAAAGGAGAUCAAUGGACUGGGAGAGGCAGACCCACCCUCAAUCUGGGUGGGCACCAUCUAACCAACUGCUAGCGUGGCUAGAAUAAAGCAGGCAGAAGGACGUGGAAGGACUUGACUUCCUGAAUCUUCUGGUCCUCAUCUUUUCCCCGUGCUGGAUGCUUGCUGCCCUCAAACAUCGGACUCCAAGUUCUUCAGCUUUGGGACUCUUGGACUUACAAGCUCUCUGGCCUUCGGCAACAGACUGAAGGCUGCACUUUCGGAUUCCCUACUUUUGAGAUUUUGGGACUCAGACUGGCUUCCUGGUUCCUCAGCUUGCAGACGGCCUAUUGUAGGACUUCACAAGUCUCACCUCAUAGCCUAUUCAUUACCGCUGAAAGUGAUUCAGAUUGUCAAGGCCCAUCUUCUAUACAGCGCUUCCCAAAGUGACGUCGGUAGACCAGUACCAGUAAGAAAACUGUUUCUAGUCUGAUAAGCUCCUGGAAACCACCAUUCUACUUCCUGACUCUAUGAUUUUGACUACUCUAGGCACCUCAUUUUACUGAUUAUCAAAGAAGGACUGUGACUAAACUAGAAGGAGAAUUAACACUAUCCAGAGAUGGCUACAGUUCUGAAGGGAAACUUUGAGUCUCCACCUUUCCAAGAGUGGGGGCACAGAUGUCGGAGCCAGACUGCCUGGACUCAAAUCUCAGAACCUGCAUUUAUUAGCUGUGUGACUUUGGAUAAUCCUCUCUCCACAACUUGAUAAUGCACAAACUGCAAAUCUUCUGGUACUCACUGCUGCAAGCAAACUUGAAGUCUUUCUGAGCCUGACUCUUCAUUCCUGCCUUGUGUGACCCAGGGAUGGAGGACUGCCCUCCCAACUCAUUAUCCUCUUUGCCCAGGAGCUAGAGAGGCCUCCAGCCCAGGCAGGAGUGCAGUGGUGUGAUCAUAACUCACUGCAGCCUUGAACUCCUGGGCUCAAGAAAUCCUCCCAUAUCAGCCUCCCGAGUAGCUGGGACUACAGGGACAAACCACCAUGCCUGGCUAACUUUUAAAUUUUUGAUAGAGAUGGGG
rnacentral:lncRNA from 1 species